GAUGAAGAACGUAGCGAAAUGCGAUAAGUAAUGCGAAUUGCAGAAUUUCCGUGAGUCAUCGAAUCUUUGAACGCACAUUGCGCCCCCUGGUAUUCCGGGGGGCAUGCCUGUUCGAGCGUCAUUUCACCACUCAAGCCUCGCUUGGUAUUGGGCAACGCGGUCCGCCGCGUGCCUCAAAUCGUCCGGCUGGGUCUUCUGUCCCCUAAGCGUUGUGGAAACUAUUCGCUAAAGGGUGUUCGGGAGGCUACGCCGUAAAACAACCCCAUUUCUAAGGUUGACCUAGGAUCAGGUAGGGAUACCCGCUGAACUUAAGCAUAUCAAUAAGCGGAGGA
rnacentral:misc_RNA from 1 species